UUUUUUUUUUUUUUUUUUUUUUUUUUUUUUCU
rnacentral:ribozyme from 3 species